GGAGAGAGGGGAGAAAUCUGUUCCACACAGGUGUAUCCUGCCUCCCAGAAGAAGGGCUGCCUGGCUGCAUGCCAUGGAACUCAGUUUUGCAUGCUGCAAUGUGAGGCUCCAGGUAAUGCCACCAGUUUUCACACAGCCCAGUGCGAGGGUGCCACAGCCACUCACUCUAAAGGUGACUAUCUCUCUGUCGACGUAAUUACAAAAGCUAACUUCAAAACCUGAAACCUUGCUUGCUGGGAAACUGCCUACGGACACAAAGCACACACAGACCCUAUCGCUUCGGAAUCCAGUCUUUUCCAAGCUUUUUUGUAAAGGAGUUUUUGUUUGAGUCUCCAGGAUCGUAUCGGAGAAAGAGCAGGUCCAGGUUAGCAGAUGGCUUGGAGCAAGCCCCUGGGGAAAGCUGUCGAUGGAGCAAUAGAUACCCUAAUGAAGACGGAUGACCUCAGAGUCUGGCUAGUGAAGAAGCGUGCACAUAUUGAGAGCAGAAGACAGCAAGCAGAUGAGACUGCAGCAAGUGAACGGAUCUCCGAGGGAUGCUUUAUAAAGAUUUAACAUCAUCUGGAAGCUGAGCUAAAUAAGUUCAUCCCAUCGGAGGUGCCCAGCAGGAAGCAAGUUGAGUCUUUGUGCACAGGGUCAUUUUAUUUCAAGAGGAAAAUAGCCUGCCCCCUGUUCUGUUUUACCUGGAAAUAGCAUCACCUUCACACGGCUGAGGACUUGGGCCUCUCCUGAGGCGUUUGUGUACGGAGUGGGAAAUUGGAACCAUUGAUGUGCAUCUGACAGGCGUUAGUCCCCCCAUCCCCGCUAGCUCUUCUGUAAAUGAUGCGAUUUCUUUGUUACCCAUGCACAGAAAACUAUAGGUAGAUGGUGUCUUUGAGAGUAAUAGCAAAUUUAUCUGAGAGAAGCUGUCUCUGAGUCUAACAUCAAAUUAUCCCUAUUUUGGGUCCUCAUACAUAAUUUACUUUUGUUGUCUACAGUUGUGUUUGUUCGUCUCUUCUGAACUGCCCCUCUGCUUGGUGGUGGGGCUACCUUGGGUUUUUUCUUUCCUUCUAUAAUUUCAUUUUCAGAAGACCUAUCCCCAAAUUCCUACUCGCUUCAGUUUUCUUCCUUUACCCAGUGAGAUCUGAUAUUUCUCAACCAGCAUGAUAAUUGCCUAUGGGUAUUUUCUGUAAGUGUGUAUGCAUAUGUUAUGCAUGCAUGUGUGUAAGCAUGUUCACAUGUAUGUGGGCACACAUUCUUUGCUGAGGUCCCUGAUGUCACCAGCACUGGAAAGCGGACUAGGUUUCUAGUCCUAGACCUGGUUUCCCUUCUGUUGAGUGGUCCUUAAGUCCAAUCAGACAGCUAUUGGGUGUCACUGACAUGUGAGUACUGGUCAUUGUCAUGGCUCAUAGGUGUCAUAGCUGGGUAGGACUGUUUAAUGCUUCCCUCCCUUGGCAGAUUGCAUGGUAUUUUCUGGAACCAUGGGGGUCCAGACUACAGAAAAGAAGCUUUCAGGUCAGACCCAGCUCAACGGAUUUGAAAUAUGUAUCCUAAGUGUAAGGUGUCUUCAGCAAUAGGGGCCCACCUUCAAUCCCUGCGAGGCAACAACAAACUACAUUAAUAAUUUAUAUUGACUACCCCGACCAACCAUUUGAAAGGGAUUUUCUUGCGCCUACUAUUGAGAAUUUGUCAGCCUAAAUGGUUUAACUUCCUUAAGAUAGCACACACACACACACACACACACACACACACUUAUAUGUACUGUGUAUAAUAUUAGGUAAGUAGAAAAUAAUAGUUUCUUGAGGUUUUAUCAAGCAAGCUUGACCUUAUCCUUUCCUUCCUUUCUCCCUCCCUCCCUGCUCUGACUAGGCUUCUUUGCCUCUGUAGGGACCUGCACACAGAUUGCUGUUGUAAAUUCAGACUCCCCACCUUGAACUUCCAUGCUGGAUAACUGCCUCCAGCAGGCAAGCGACUACUUUCCAUCUCUAGAUUUCUGCUGUGACUCUUUCAUUUCUCUAGGUUUGAUCUUCUUGGUUGUGGAUUUCUUGGUUUUAUUUAGUUAUUCUUGAUUUUCAAAAUCCGAGAACGCCACUGACUUGGAGAAAUCUGGUAAAGCACUCCUGGAUCAAAUGAGAACAUUGCAUUCUUAUUUACAUCCCUAUAUAAUGCCUUUCCCAAAGAUUAUAUGGGACUUGCUUGUUUAUUUACCUUUGUAGUGCCAGGGAUCAAUUAUUUAGGACCUUCUGCGCAUGUGAAAUUUCCUAUCACAACUUUAUUUUCUGAAUAAUGUUAUGGCUCCAUGUUUCUCAGCAACUGAUGUUUUUAAAAAGAAGAUAACAUGUUUUAGAAACUUGAUCAUAAUAAUGUUAUAAGUUAGGCAGCCUGAAGAAGAGUUCACAGAGACAUUUCUAGUAGUGGAAAGAAAGGUAAGUCUAUAACUGACCCUGGUGCUUUGAUCUUUUCAUGGGAAGGUUCAUUUAAAAAUGACCACAGAAGCUUACCAUGUGUAGUACCAUUUCAGAAUAAGUUUUAGAGUGUAAGUGACAUAGUAGAUCCUGUUUGCACAUAGAUGUGGGUGUAGCCUGUAAGUCUGUCUGGUGAGCUUGGAUGAAGACCCCAACUGCAGAGCAGAGUUGAAAGAGGCUGGGAAGGGGUGGGUUUAACUAGAGGAAAAAGGCAGGAAUGGGCCAGACUACACACAACACAGAAAAGCCCGAUGGAUCAGUGACAGGCCUUGGAGCUUCCAGACUUUAGAUUCCUAAAAAGAUCCUCUGUGGAAGAAAGACAACCCUCUACUCUUCCUUCCAAAGGAGAAGAGUCCUGGCCUGGAGGAGAGGGAAGCAAAGCUCAGAUGGUAGGCGAACUGUGUUUGGGCACCAGCAGCCUGGACUGUUUGGGGCAUGGCAAUAUCAUCAGGACUUCUCUUUGGCAUGGCUUCUCUAAGCUCCAGCCCCAGAGUAAAGGAGAGCCACUCCCCUGAGCCACAAAUACCAUCUGGGCACAGGACAGAUGGGCAACCAUCCUAGUCUCCCCGGCUUCCAGGGCUUCAUAAUUAACAUCAAGAAGUUGGAUCGAAACAGUGCUUUUUCCCAAGCUUUUGUUUUUUGGGAGUGGUUGAAUUUUGAAUUUGUCAUUGUUGUUUAGUUUUGGAACUGUGAAAUCAAAGAUCAAAUAUUUACAUGGGAAAAAUGAGACCCAAAGAUUUCUAAAACCUUAGAAGUUUCUGCUGGUUCCUAAGCUGGAUUCCACGUGAUAGCUUCUUUAACCACUCCAUCCCGAUGGGCUUCAGACUUACUGGUAAUUGUUUCCUUGACUUUCUUAUGGAGUUUUUAUUAUGUAUGUGGGCAUCUCUAAAUAAUGUCGGUUAUUGUUUACUCUUGCUAUAAUAUCCAUGAGCUUUC